GUGAUCGGCCACACUGGGACUGAGACACGGCCCAGAACUCCUACGGGAGGCAGCAGUAGGGAAUCUUCCGCAAUGGACGAAAGUCUGACGGAGCAACGCCGCGUGAGUGAUGAAGGCUUUCGGGUCGUAAAACUCUGUUGUUAGGGAAGAACAAGUGCUAGUUGAAUAAGCUGGCACCUUGACGGUACCUAACCAGAAAGCCACGGCUAACUACGUGCCAGCAGCCGCGGUAAUACGUAGGUGGCAAGCGUUAUCCGGAAUUAUUGGGCGUAAAGCGCGCGCAGGUGGUUUCUUAAGUCUGAUGUGAAAGCCCACGGCUCAACCGUGGAGGGUCAUUGGAAACUGGGAGACUUGAGUGCAGAAGAGGAAAGUGGAAUUCCAUGUGUAGCGGUGAAAUGCGUAGAGAUAUGGAGGAACACCAGUGGCGAAGGCGACUUUCUGGUCUGUAACUGACACUGAGGCGCGAAAGCGU
rnacentral:rRNA from 1 species